rnacentral:lncRNA from 1 species
CCCGCCCCAAGUCUCCAACGUGUUCUGGCCAGUUUAAACCCCACUGCGAACCGGGGAAGUGGCCUUAUUCCUGUGACACGGGUGAGAGCUGAAGUAGGUCUCGGUCCCUGGCCGCCAGGAGGUGCAAGCAAGCUACCACUACUGCAGACGCUCCAGGCCCGCCCGCUGUGGGUGGGACUGGGGAGAGGACCCCAUCUCGGCCUUGGCACCUUCUACUACAACGCAGACAGGAAUAGACAACUGCCUCACCCUGCUCUGGGCCUCCCCUGAGCUAGACCCUCUUUUACCAGGCCCCUUCGUGAUCUCAUUCCUCAGGGAGCAGUUCUCACUUCCCCUAUCCCAGAGGACAGAGGGACUCGGCAGUGAAAGAGGGAACCAACUGUCCAAACGCAUGACUAGAACAAAGCCUCCAGAAGACAGACAAGGCCCCAUUUCCAAAUAUCAUCACAAUGAAGAUUAGGGCUUCAACAUACGAAUUUUAGAGGACACAAUUCAGUCCAUAGCAACGAUGCAUAGAAGACAAGGCAAUAUGAAGUGAGAACAGAGGUAUUUGAAGCUGUCAGCCUUCAAGACUGGAGUGAUGCAGUGACAAGCCGAGGCCACCAGAAACUGGAAGAAGCAAGGAAGGAUCCUCUCCUGGCCUUCAGAACUUUGACAGAAUAAAGUUU